rnacentral:rRNA from 1 species
AUUGAACGCUGGCGGCAGGCCUAACGCAUGCAAGUCGAGCGGAUGAAGGUAGCUUGCUACCUGAUUCAGCGGCGGACGGGUGAGUAAUGCCUAGGAAUCUGCCUGGUAGUGGGGGACAACGUUUCGAAAGGAACGCUAAUACCGCAUACGUCCUACGGGAGAAAGUGGGGGAUCUUCGGACCUCACGCUAUCAGAUGAGCCUAGGUACGAUUAGCUAGUUGGUGAGGUAAAGGCUCACCAAGGCGACGAUCGUUAACUGGUCUGAGAGGAUGAUCAGUCACACUGGAACUGAGACACGGUCCAGACUCCUACGGGAGGCAGCAGUGGGGAAUAUUGGACAAUGGGCGAAAGCCUGAUCCAGCCAUGCCGCGUGUGUGAAGAAGGUCUUCGGAUUGUAAAGCACUUUAAGUUGGGAGGAAGAGCAGUAAGUUAAUACCUUGCUGUUUUGACGUUACCGACAGAAUAAGCACCGGCUAACUUCGUGCCAGCCGCCGCCGUAA